rnacentral:rRNA from 1 species
GGGUUGUGAGGUUAAGCGACUAAGCGUACACGGUGGAUGCCCUGGCAGUCAGAGGCGAUGAAGGACGUGCUAAUCUGCGAUAAGCGUCGGUGAGGUGAUAUGAACCGUUAUAACCGGCGAUUUCCGAAUGGGGAAACCCAGUGUGUUUCGACACACUAUCAUUAACUGAAUCCAUAGGUUAAUGAGGCGAACCGGGGGAACUGAAACAUCUAAGUACCCCGAGGAAAAGAAAUCAACCGAGAUUCCCCCAGUAGCGGCGAGCGAACGGGGAGGAGCCCAGAGCCUGAAUCAGUGUGUGUGUUAGUGGAAGCGUCUGGAAAGGCGCGCGAUACAGGGUGACAGCCCCGUACACAAAAAUGCACAUAUUGUGAGCUCGAUGAGUAGGGCGGGACACGUGGUAUCCUGUCUGAAUAUGGGGGGACCAUCCUCCAAGGCUAAAUACUCCUGACUGACCGAUAGUGAACCAGUACCGUGAGGGAAAGGCGAAAAGAACCCCGGCGAGGGGAGUGAAAAAGAACCUGAAACCGUGUACGUACAAGCAGUGGGAGCCUCUUAAUGGGGUGACUGCGUACCUUUUGUAUAAUGGGUCAGCGACUUAUAUUCUGUAGCAAGGUUAACCGAAUAGGGGAGCCGAAGGGAAACCGAGUCUUAACUGGGCGUUAAGUUGCAGGGUAUAGACCCGAAACCCGGUGAUCUAGCCAUGGGCAGGUUGAAGGUUGGGUAACACUAACUGGAGGACCGAACCGACUAAUGUUGAAAAAUUAGCGGAUGACUUGUGGCUGGGGGUGAAAGGCCAAUCAAACCGGGAGAUAGCUGGUUCUCCCCGAAAGCUAUUUAGGUAGCGCCUCGUGAAUUCAUCUCCGGGGGUAGAGCACUGUUUCGGCAAGGGGUCAUCCCGACUUACCAACCCGAUGCAAACUGCGAAUACCGGAGAAUGUUAUCACGGGAGACACACGGCGGGUGCUAACGUCCGUCGUGAAGAGGGAAACAACCCAGACCGCCAGCUAAGGUCCCAAAGUCAUGGUUAAGUGGGAAACGAUGUGGGAAGGCCCAGACAGCCAGGAUGUUGGCUUAGAAGCAGCCAUCAUUUAAAGAAAGCGUAAUAGCUCACUGGUCGAGUCGGCCUGCGCGGAAGAUGUAACGGGGCUAAACCAUGCACCGAAGCUGCGGCAGCGACACUAUGUGUUGUUGGGUAGGGGAGCGUUCUGUAAGCCUGUGAAGGUGUACUGUGAGGUAUGCUGGAGGUAUCAGAAGUGCGAAUGCUGACAUAAGUAACGAUAAAGCGGGUGAAAAGCCCGCUCGCCGGAAGACCAAGGGUUCCUGUCCAACGUUAAUCGGGGCAGGGUGAGUCGACCCCUAAGGCGAGGCCGAAAGGCGUAGUCGAUGGGAAACAGGUUAAUAUUCCUGUACUUGGUGUUACUGCGAAGGGGGGACGGAGAAGGCUAUGUUGGCCGGGCGACGGUUGUCCCGGUUUAAGCGUGUAGGCUGGUUUUCCAGGCAAAUCCGGAAAAUCAAGGCUGAGGCGUGAUGACGAGGCACUACGGUGCUGAAGCGACAAAUGCCCUGCUUCCAGGAAAAGCCUCUAAGCAUCAGGUAACAUCAAAUCGUACCCCAAACCGACACAGGUGGUCAGGUAGAGAAUACCAAGGCGCUUGAGAGAACUCGGGUGAAGGAACUAGGCAAAAUGGUGCCGUAACUUCGGGAGAAGGCACGCUGAUAUGUAGGUGAAGCGACUUGCUCGUGGAGCUGAAAUCAGUCGAAGAUACCAGCUGGCUGCAACUGUUUAUUAAAAACACAGCACUGUGCAAACACGAAAGUGGACGUAUACGGUGUGACGCCUGCCCGGUGCCGGAAGGUUAAUUGAUGGGGUUAGCGGUAACGCGAAGCUCUUGAUCGAAGCCCCGGUAAACGGCGGCCGUAACUAUAACGGUCCUAAGGUAGCGAAAUUCCUUGUCGGGUAAGUUCCGACCUGCACGAAUGGCGUAAUGAUGGCCAGGCUGUCUCCACCCGAGACUCAGUGAAAUUGAACUCGCUGUGAAGAUGCAGUGUACCCGCGGCAAGACGGAAAGACCCCGUGAACCUUUACUAUAGCUUGACACUGAACAUUGAGCCUUGAUGUGUAGGAUAGGUGGGAGGCUUUGAAGUGUGGACGCCAGUCUGCAUGGAGCCGACCUUGAAAUACCACCCUUUAAUGUUUGAUGUUCUAACGUGGGCCCCUUACCGGGGUUGCGGACAGUGUCUGGUGGGUAGUUUGACUGGGGCGGUCUCCUCCUAAAGAGUAACGGAGGAGCACGAAGGUUGGCUAAUCCUGGUCGGACAUCAGGAGGUUAGUGCAAUGGCAUAAGCCAGCUUGACUGCGAGCGUGACGGCGCGAGCAGGUGCGAAAGCAGGUCAUAGUGAUCCGGUGGUUCUGAAUGGAAGGGCCAUCGCUCAACGGAUAAAAGGUACUCCGGGGAUAACAGGCUGAUACCGCCCAAGAGUUCAUAUCGACGGCGGUGUUUGGCACCUCGAUGUCGGCUCAUCACAUCCUGGGGCUGAAGUAGGUCCCAAGGGUAUGGCUGUUCGCCAUUUAAAGUGGUACGCGAGCUGGGUUUAGAACGUCGUGAGACAGUUCGGUCCCUAUCUGCCGUGGGCGCUGGAGAACUGAGGGGGGCUGCUCCUAGUACGAGAGGACCGGAGUGGACGCAUCACUGGUGUUCGGGUUGUCAUGCCAAUGGCACUGCCCGGUAGCUAAAUGCGGAAGAGAUAAGUGCUGAAAGCAUCUAAGCACGAAACUUGCCCCGAGAUGAGUUCUCCCUGACUCCUUGAGAGUCCUGAAGGAACGUUGAAGACGACGACGUUGAUAGGCCGGGUGUGUAAGCGCAGCGAUGCGUUGAGCUAACCGGUACUAAUGAACCGUGAGGCUUAACCUUACAACGCCGAAG